GACGAACGCUGGCGGCGUGCCUAAUACAUGCAAGUUGAGCGCUGAAGGUUGGUACUUGUACCGACUGGAUGAGCAGCGAACGGGUGAGUAACGCGUGGGGAAUCUGCCUUUGAGCGGGGGACAACAUUUGGAAACGAAUGCUAAUACCGCAUAAAAACUUUAAACACAAGUUUUAAGUUUGAAAGAUGCAAUUGCAUCACUCAAAGAUGAUCCCGCGUUGUAUUAGCUAGUUGGUGAGGUAAAGGCUCACCAAGGCGAUGAUACAUAGCCGACCUGGGAGGGUGAUCGGCCACAUUGGGACUGAGACACGGCCCAAACUCCUACGGGAGGCAGCAGUAGGGAAUCUUCGGCAAUGGACGAAAGUCUGACCGAGCAACGCCGCGGGAGUGAAGAAGGUUUUCGGAUCGUAAAACUCUGUUGGUAGAGAAGAACGUUGGUGAGAGUGGAAAGCUCAUCAAGUGACGGUAACUACCCAGAAAGGGACGGCUAACUACGUG
rnacentral:rRNA from 1 species